AAAGGAGUAGGUUCAGUAAGACCCCUUUUUGGUCCCAAAAUAUAGCAGUUUUACAAAAUUGUUAAAAUGUAAACUUUUAGUUAUUUAUUGGACAGUAGAAUGCUUCUGCUACAUAAAUAUGGGCUGUUUUUGACAAUACAAUGCACAUAAAUCGGGUACUAGCACCAUUAAGUCAUGCUAAAUCACUGAAAUCUUCACAAUUCUAG
rnacentral:lncRNA from 1 species